GUCCCAGUAGCUCAGCUGGAUAGAGCAAUGGCCUUCUAAGCCAUGUGUCGGGGGUUCGAAUCCCUCCUGGGACGCCA
rnacentral:tRNA from 2 species